rnacentral:rRNA from 1 species
GACGAACGCUGGCGGCGUGCUUAACACAUGCAAGUGGUGCGACGAACCAGGGCUUGCCCUGGGGCAAAGCCGCGAACGGGUGAGUAACACGUGAGUAAUCUGCCCCGAUGACCGGGACAACCCGAGGAAACUCGGGCUAAUACCGGAUGUGGUGCUUAGGCGUAAGCCUUUUCACUAAAGGAAGCUUCGGCCUCCGCAUUGGGAGGAGCUCGCGGCCCAUUAGCUUGUUGGUGAGGUAACGGCUCACCAAGGCGACGAUGGGUAGCUGGUCUGAGAGGACGAUCAGCCACACUGGGACUGAGACACGGCCCAGACUCCUACGGGAGGCUG